rnacentral:rRNA from 1 species
GACGGAGGGUGCUAGCGUUGUUCGGAAUUACUGGGCGUAAAGGGCGCGUAGGCGGCUACGGCAGUCGGGUGUGAAAGCCCGGGGCUCAACCCCGGAACGGCACCCGAUACUCUGUGGCUCGAGACCGGGAGAGGUGGGUGGAAUACCCAGUGUAGAGGUGAAAUUCGUAGAUAUUGGGUGGAACACCGGUGGCGAAGGCGGCCUGCUGGGACGUGGCUGACGCUGAGGCGCGACAGCGUGGGGAGCAAACAGG